AAACAUGCAAGUCGAACGAUGAAGCCCAGCUUGCUGGGUGGAUUAGUGGCGAACGGGUGAGUAACACGUGAGUAACCUGCCCUUAACUCUGGGAUAAGCCUGGGAAACUGGGUCUAAUACCGGAUAGGAGCGCCUACCGCAUGGUGGGUGUUGGAAAGAUUUAUCGGUUUUGGAUGGACUCGCGGCCUAUCAGCUUGUUGGUGAGGUAAUGGCUCACCAAGGCGACGACGGGUAGCCGGCCUGAGAGGGUGACCGGCCACACUGGGACUGAGACACGGCCCAGACUCCUACGGGAGGCAGCAGUGGGGAAUAUUGCACAAUGGGCGAAAGCCUGAUGCAGCGACGCCGCGUGAGGGAUGACGGCCUUCGGGUUGUAAACCUCUUUCAGUAGGGAAGAAGCGAAAGUGACGGUACCUGCAGAAGAAGCACCGGCUAACUACGUGCCAGCAGCCGCGGUAAUACGUAGGGUGCGAGCGUUAUCCGGAAUUAUUGGGCGUAAAGAGCUCGUAGGCGGUUUGUCGCGUCUGUCGUGAAAGUCCGGGGCUUAACCCCGGAUCUGCGGUGGGUACGGGCAGACUAGAGUGCAGUAGGGGAGACUGGAAUUCCUGGUGUAGCGGUGGAAUGCGCAGAUAUCAGGAGGAACACCGAUGGCGAAGGCAGGUCUCUGGGCUGUAACUGACGCUGAGGAGCGAAAGCAUGGGGAGCGAACAGGAUUAGAUACCCUGGUAGUCCAUGCCGUAAACGUUGGGCACUAGGUGUGGGGACCAUUCCACGGUUUCCGCGCCGCAGCUAACGCAUUAAGUGCCCCGCCUGGGGAGUACGGCCGCAAGGCUAAAACUCAAAGGAAUUGACGGGGGCCCGCACAAGCGGCGGAGCAUGCGGAUUAAUUCGAUGCAACGCGAAGAACCUUACCAAGGCUUGACAUGUUCUCGAUCGCCGUAGAGAUACGGUUUCCCCUUUGGGGCGGGUUCACAGGUGGUGCAUGGUUGUCNUCAGCUCGUGUCGUGAGAUGUUUGGGUAAGUCCCGCAACGAGCGCAACCCUCGUUCCAUGUUGCCAGCACGUAAUGGUGGGGACUCAUGGAA
rnacentral:rRNA from 1 species